rnacentral:rRNA from 1 species
AUUGAACGCUGGCGGAAUGCUUUACACAUGCAAGUCGAACGGCAGCACGGACUUCGGUCUGGUGGCAAGUGGCGAACGGGUGAGUAAUACAUCGGAACGUGCCCAAUCGUGGGGGAUAACGUAGCGAAAGCUACGCUAAUACCGCAUACGAUCUAAGGAUGAAAGCGGGGGAUCGCGAGACCUCGCGCGAUUGGAGCGGCCGGUGGCAGAUUAGGUAGUUGGUAGGGUAAAGGCCUACCAAGCCGACGAUCUGUAGCUGGUCUGAGAGGACGACCAGCCACACUGGAACUGAGACACGGUCCAGACUCCUACGGGAGGCAGCAGUGGGGAAUUUUGGACAAUGGGCGAAAGCCUGAUCCAGCCAUUCCGCGUGCAGGAUGAAGGCCCUCGGGUUGUAAACUGCUUUUGUACAGAACGAAAAGGUUUCUACUAAUACUAGGAGCUCAUGACGGUACUGUAAGAAUAAGCACCGGCUAACUACGUGUCAGCAGCCGCGGUAA